rnacentral:rRNA from 1 species
AUUGAACGCUGGCGGCAGGCCUAACACAUGCAAGUCGAGCGAGCGGCGGACGGGUGAGUAAUGUCUGGGAAUCUGCCUGUUGGAUGGGGAUAACUACUGGAAACGAUAGCUAAUACCGCAUCCCAUCAGAUGUGCCCAGAGGGGAUUAGCUGGUAGGUGGGGUAAUGGCUCACCUAGGCGAUGAUCCCUAGCUGGUCUGAGAGGAUGAGCAGCCACACUGGAACUGAGACACGGUCCAGACUCCUACGGGAGGCAGCAGUGGGGAAUAUUGCACAAUGGGCGCAAGCCUGAUGCAGCCAUGCCGCGUGUGUGAAGAAGGCCUUCGGGUUGUAAAGCACUUUCAGCGGGGAGGCGUUACCCGCAGAAGAAGCACCGGCUAACUCCGUGCCAGCAGCCGCGGUAAUAC